AACGAACGCUGGCGGCAGGCCUAACACAUGCAAGUCGAACGGGUGUAGCAAUACGAUCAGUGGCAGACGGGUGAGUAACGCGUGGGAAUCUCCCCAGAGGUACGGAACAACUCAGGGAACUUGAGCUAAUACCGUAUGUGCCCGAGAGGGCAAAGAUUCAUCGCCUUUGGAUGAGCCCGCGUUGGAUUAGCUAGUUGGUGGGGUAACGGCCUACCAAGGCUACGAUCCAAGCUGAUCUGAGAGGAUGAUCAGCCANACUGGGACUGAGACACGGCCCAGACUCCUACGGGAGGCAGCAGUGGGGAAUACUUGGACAAUGGGCGCAAGCCUGAUCCAG
rnacentral:rRNA from 1 species